GACGAACCGAGCGAACGUUGUUCGGAAUCACUGGGCUUAAAGGGCGCGUAGGCGGGCUGUCAAGUUUGGGGUGAAAUCCCGCGGCUCAACCGUGGAACUGCCUCAAAUACUGACGGUCUCGAGGGAGGUAGGGGCGAGCGGAACUGAUGGUGGAGCGGUGAAAUGCGUUGAUAUCAUCAGGAACUCCGGUGGCGAAGGCGGCUCGCUGGACCUUUUCUGACGCUGAGGCGCGAAAGCUAGGGGAGCAAAC
rnacentral:rRNA from 1 species